GUCAACUAGAGGGUUCUGGCACCUUUAACUGGGAGCAUUCUAAGCCUGGCACUCAGCAUGUGUUUAAGUGUAUGAAGACCCUUAUUCUCACAUUGAAAGAAGGUCACUGACUUCGCUUUCCAAAAAUGAUUCUCUUCAUUGUUCUGACCUGAAGAUGGACAACGGGCUUUUCAGAAGAAACCCCUCCUUCACAGAGCUGAUUGGCUUCAAGGCCAGCUGUGGGAUCCCCACAUAUUCCUGUAAUGCUGAACCCCUUGGAAACAUCAGAAGAAGCCUGAUGUGGAGAAAAGGGAACCCUCCUGCACUGUUGGUGGGAAUGUAAACUGGUACAGCCACUAUGGAGAACAGUUUGGAGAUACCUUAGAAAUCUAUACAUAGAACUUCCAUAUGACCC
rnacentral:lncRNA from 1 species